GCAUAUCAAUAAGCGGAGGAAAAGAAACUAACAAGGAUUCCCUUAGUAAUGGCGAAUGAAACGGGAAUAGCCCAACUUGAAAAUCUCCCUUUGGAGAAUUGUAGUCUAGAGAAGCGCCCUCUGCGGCGGCCGGAGCCUAAGUCCGUUGGAAAACGGCGUCAGAGAGGGUGAGAACCCCGUCGGCUCUAGGCUUAGCUGCUCCACGAGGUGCUUUCCACGAGUCGGGUUGUUUGGGAAUGCAGCCCAAAAUGGGAGGUACAUCCCUUCUAAGGCUAAAUACUGGCGAGAGACCGAUAGCGAACAAGUACCGUGAGGGAAAGAUGAAAAGAACUUUGAAAAGAGAGUUAAAAAGUGCUUGAAAUUGUUGAGAGGGAAGCGUUUGGAGGUUAUAGGUGCGCCUAGGCUUAUACGAUUCUAACGAGCCGUUGUAUGUGCUAGGUGCUGGUCAACAUGGGUUAGCCUGGCGGGAUAACAGCGGGGGUUGAUACCCCGUCUAUGCCGCCGGGUUGAUCAAGGUGUGAAUGGCGCUCUGUCCUUCGGGAACUGCGUCAUCAAGAUGUUGGCAGAAGGCCUUCAAACGACCCGUCUUGAAACACGGACC
rnacentral:rRNA from 1 species